rnacentral:lncRNA from 1 species
AGAAUGCGAAGCAGGAGGGUGUCUGCUGAGCUGAACAUAAUCAAGGCCCGAACCAAAAUUGGAAGAGCCCAAGGCUGAGUUAGGGCAAGAAGGCAAGCCCCAAAGCAUAACCCAAUUUUCUAAAUUUAUGCACUACUUAUGUUACUUAUGUUUGUCCAUUUAAGUUCACAGGAGUUGCUUGAAACCCUAGUUGCAUGAUUCUAGGCACUGAUGUGCUGAAUACUAGUAUGUUAAGACGAGUAGUUGCAAUGCUAAAUAGGGACUCCGUAAAAGUCGAGUGAUUUCCUGUCACUCACGAGCUAUAAGAGUUGCUUAUUUACUUAUGUUGGAAUAAUAAGGAUUGACUGGCGGGGUGAGCAAUUGGUCUAAAUUGGUUGACUGCCCUGUUUGUCUAGAAGAAAGCUGCUAAGGUUGUAAUGUGUCGGCGUUCGUGGUCAAGUGUUUAAAAGUACUAAUCUCAUACCUAGUAUGGGAUACGGUAGCCUAGUACCUGAUUCAAAACUUGGUUCCCCUGCUGCAGCAUGUGGAUACAAGGGUAGUCACGAUACAGUGUCGUCGGGAUCGUGGGGCAUUGUAUACCAAGGGAAGUGGGCCCGACCAUGUGCUCAGGGAUUGAUGGGGAUGGCUAACAAAUGAAGCGAACCCGUCAUGGUACGCGGAUGUCGUGGGGUUAGGUUCACCUUGCAAAGUUUAAAAACUCGAUUCGAAUCAUCUGCCUCUUACAGUUUGAGACUGCUUGAUCACUGUGCUGCACUGAGUAAGAAGUGAAACAAAGAAUGAUGAAUAAUACUAAUGCUUGAUUAAAUUGUUUGUUCAACAUGCUUGCUUAGAACCUGCUCCUAAACCUUGAAAGUAAGGACCUACUUUAGAAGAUUUUGGCAAAACAAAAUCCUCAACCAAAAGCCUUGCAUGUUUAGGAGUCGGUGGAUUAGAUACCACCUAACGGUAAGCCUUGUUGAGUAUUAGUAUACUCAGCCUUGCUUGGGGCUAUAGUUUUCAGGUUUUGUUGUUGAGUUGGUUGUUAGUGUGCCUUGGCUGUCCCAACUCCCUUCGGGUUGGACUGUUGAGUGGGACCCGUCCUCAACCGGCGAGGAUCGUGGUGUUUGAUUGUUUGGAUACGAGGUAGGCUACGCUAGUGCAAAAAAAAAAUUUCUACCAUGUAAACCAGGAAAACUGCCGUACAUGGAUCACGGGAUUACCACUCGACGCACUGGUGUAGAAGAUGUAGAAUCACGUCGGGGCAGCGAACUCGAUCAGCUUAGUCGAACACGUAGUUGAUCACGUCGACGUCGAGCAGUUCCUCAGCAGCUCGUCCACGUAUCGCGAGGUCCUCCUCGUGCCGCAGCUUGUCGUCAGCUCGUCGUGGCUCGUUAUCGGCUCGUCGUGGCUCGUUGGCGGCUCAUCCAAGUGCGGCAGGUGCAACACCUGCAAGGUAUCCACACGUGUAGGGAGGAAGUGUCGCAAGCCGGACUGCUAGGUCCGCGAGUUGCAACAGGCGAGGGUGUGGAAGGCACGGCAGCUGUGGUUCGGCCAAAAGGAUUGAAACCCUAGGGCAUCCCACCCCUCUAUUUAUAGAGGUUCCUGAUGGGCCUCUGGGUUUGAGGCCCAUUAGUACUCCUAAACCUGAUCCAAUUCGGAUCACAUCCGAAUUGGGCUUCCAACCCCUUAAGUGUGCGACCCUAUAGGUUCGGAUACGUAUAGACAUGGCCCGAGUACUCCUACUCAGCCCAAUAGUCGGUAGCGGCCUCUAGCAAGACGUGUCAACUCCCAUACACACACGAAGAUCAUAUCAGACGAACCAUCACAACAUCAUGUACAUGCUAUUCCCUUUGCCUCACGAUAUUUGGUCUAGCUUCAAGCCGACCGCUCUUUCUCGAUCCUGUGAUUCGGAAUCCCUUUGUAGGUUAACUCUUAACCAUACGUAGCAUGGCCAUGCAUUUUUAGAUCCGAUCACUCGAGGGGCCCAGAGAUAUCACUCUCAAUCAAAGUGGGGCAAAUCCCAUCUUGAUUGACCAUGCCUCUUAGCAUGCUUCUUGACAAACCCGAAAGCUACCUUUUUAACUACCCUGUUACAGUGUAGCGCUUGAUAGCCCCUAAGUAAGUCGAUCCACAUCUUGAGUACAUGUGACAAUCUCAGGUCUAAGGACAAAGUGUACAUGUUGUGUAAAGAGAGAACUACUUCUCGUGUUGGGUCAGUGCUAGCACAUGUCUCUACACAUGCCCACAUUAUUAGUUUGACACCUUCAUGUCCAUGACUUGUGAAACAUAGUCAUCAACUAAUACAUGUGCUAGUCUAAUAUUCAUGUGUGUCCUCACAUGAACUCCAACUAGGGACAACUUUUAGAAUAACCAUACAAGUAAAGAGUUCCACAUACAAUUCACACAAUUGCAGAUCAAUUCAAGUAGCCUUUAAUGGAUAUUCAAUGAACACUAUAAAUCAUGAAUACAAAUGGAAUAUCAUCAUCUCUAUGAUUGCCUCUAGAGCAUAUCUCCAACAGUCUCCCACUUGCACUAGAGUCAAUCUAGAUGGUAUCUAAUACCCAUAGCUCUUACAUGCGCAUCAUGUUUAGCCUACGGGAGAGGCUUUCUCAAAGGAUCGGAAAUAUUCAGAUCCGUGUGUAUUUUGCAUAUAUUGACCUCACCCCGGUUAACAAAGUCUCGAAUGAGAUGAAAUCGCCGCAUAACGUGUUUGUUCUUCUGGAGAUUCAAUGGGCUGGAUGCAUUCGGGAACACACCAAGCUCAAUAAGGAAAUUCCUUAUCCAAACACCCUCCUUCGCGGCUUCCGAAGCCGCGAUGUAUUCGGCUUCUGUCAUAGAAUUGGCCACCGUCUCCUGCUUGGAACUCUUCCAACUAACAGCACCACCGUUUAGCAUGAACACAAAUCCUGAUUGUGACUUUGAAUCGUCUCUGUUGGUUUGGAAACUAGCAUCGGUGUAACCUGUUACAACGAGCUCCUCCUCACCUCCAUAGACGAGGAACAUGUCUUUAGUCCUUCUUAAGUACUUAAGAAUGUUUUUCACCGCUAUCCAGUGACUCUCACCCAGAUCAGACUGGUGUUUGCUUGUCAUACUUAGCGCAUAUGAAACAUCUGGGUGAGUACUUAUCAUUGCAUACAUGAUAGAUCCAAUAGCCGAAGAAUAUGACACUCAACUCAUGCUAUCCCGCUCAUCAGCAGUCGAAGGACACUGAGUCUUGCUGAGAUGUAUGCCAUGUGACACAGGCAAGAACCCUUUCUUCACCUCUUCCAUGUUGAACCGCUUCAACACUUUGUCAAUGUCAGUAUCUUGGCUUAAUCCUAUAAGCCUUCUCGAUCUAUCUCUAGAGAUCUUAAUGCCCAGAAUAUAUACCGCUUCCCCUAAGUCCUUCAUCGAAAAACUAUUUUUCAGUGAAGUCUUAACGACUCAAGCAUAGGAAUGUUAUUUCCAAUCAGCAAUAUGUCAUCCACAUAUAAAAUUAGAAAUACUACAGAGCUCCCACUUUCUUUCUUGUAAACACAAGACUCUUCUUCAUUCUUGGUGAAGCCAAAGCCUUUGACCACUUCACCAAAAUGAAUGUUCCAACUUCUAGAUGCCUGCUUCAAUCCAUAAAUGGAUCUCUAAAGCUUGCAUACCUUCCCAGCAUUUUUCAGAUCGACAAAACCCUUGGGUUAUAUCAUAUACACAUCCUUAGUUAGGUUUCCAUUCAGGAAAGCUGUCUUGACAUCCAUCUGCCAUAUCUCAUAAUCGAAAUAUGCAGCUAUAGCUAGAAUAAUCCGAAUGGACUUAAGCAUCACUACGAGCGAGAAGGUCUCAUCGUAGUCAACUCCUUGAACUUGUCGAAAACCUUUUGCGACAUGUCGUGCUUUAUAGAUGUGAACAUUUCCAUCCAUGUCCUUUUUCUUCUUAUAGAUCCACUUGCACUCUAUGGCUUUAACACCAUCAGGCGUGUCAACCAAGUUCCAAACUUGAUUGUCCCCCAUGGACUCUAUUUUGGAUUGCAUGGUACUCUACCAUUUUUCGGAGUCUGGGUCCAUCAUUGCUUCUACAUAUGUCGCGGGCUCAUCAUUGUCCAACAAUAAUAUUUCCCGCAUUUCGCGGAGCCUUGCCGACCUUCGUGGUUGUGGCGGUGCUUCUCUUGACAUGGGUAUCUCAACUUGUUCUGCUAUGUUAGCAUCACUCGUAGAUUCUUGCCCGUUCAGCUCAUCUCGAACUUCUUCAAGAUGCACUGUCUUUCCACUUUUUCUCCUUUGAGAAACUCUUUUUCUAGGAAAACCCCGUUCCGAGCGACAAACACUUUGCCCUCUGACCGGUUGUAGAAAUAAUAUCCAAAGUUUCCUUUGGAUAUCCCAUGAAAAUGCACUUAUCUGACUUGGGUGUGAUCUUGUUCGACUCAAGUCGCUUGACAAACACUUCACAUCCCCAAAUCUUUAGAAAAGACAAACUGGGAGUCUUUCCAGUCCACAUCUCAUAUGGUGUCUUAACCACAGAUUUAGACGGUACCCUAUUAAGUGAAAGCUGUUGUUUCUAGAGCGUAUCCCCAAAAUGAUAAUGGUAGGUCCAACUAGCUCAUCAUUGAUCGAACCAUGACCAACAAAGUUCAAUUACAUCGCUCAGAUACACCAUUUCUCUGAGGUGUUCCAGCGGCGUAAGCUGUGGAACAAUUCUGCAACUCUUCAGAUGAUUGCUAAAUUCGUGGCUCAAAUACUCGCCUCCAUGAUCAGAUCGCAAGGCCUUAAUUUUCUUGCCACGCUGAUUUUCUACUUCAUUCUAAAAUUCCUUGAACUUUUCAAAGGUUUCAGACUUGUGCCUCAUCAAUUAGACAUAGCCAUAUCUACUAAAAUCAUCAGUAAAAGUUAUGAAGUAUUGGUACCCUCCUCUGGCUGUCGUGCUCAUUGGUCCGCAUAUAUCGGUAUGUACGAGUUCCAACAAGUCUAAUGCUUUCUCAGGAAAACCUGUGAAAGGUGCCUUGGUCAUCAUGCCUAGUAAGCAAUCCUCACAUGUCUCGUAUGAUUCAAAAUCAAACGAAGUUAAAAGUCCAUCAAUAUGGAGCUUCUUCAUGCGUUUCUCACUUAUAUGACCCAAACGAUAAUGCCACAUGUAGGUAGUACUCAAAUCAUUAGGCCAAGGCCUUUUAGCACUUAUGUUACAGACAGGUGAACCAUCAAGAUUUAAAACAAACAAUCCAUUCACAAUAGAUGCAAAAGCCAUAAACAUAUCAUUCUUAGAGAUCACACAACCAUUGUUUUCACUUGCAAAUGAAUAACCAUCCUUUAUCAAACAUGAAGGAGACAUAAUGUUUCGACUUAAACUAUGAACAAAAUAACAAUUAUUCAAUUCCAUAAUAAAUCCUGACAGGAGGUGGAGUUGCAUCGUCCCGACGGUCAAUGCAGCACCUCUUGCAUUAUUGCCCACGUGGAAAUCAACUUCUCCCCUUUCAACGCUUCUACUUCUUAUCAUUCCCUGCAUCGAAUUGCAAAUAUGAGCAACCGAUCCGGUAUCAAAUACCCAACAAUUAAUAAUUGUAUCAGCGAGAAAUAUGUUGUCUAUAACAUUAACAACAAGUGUACCUGAGGUGGAAGUACUCUUACUUCCGCCAUUCUUCAACGAAGAUAGGUACUGCUUGCAAUUUCUCUUCCAGUGACCAGGUUCGUGACAAUAAAAGCACUCUUUAUCUGUAGCAGGUCCAGCUUUAGCCUUGGGCGCUGGGUUUGGCUUGGACACUCCAGCCUUGCCCUUCUUCUUCCAAGAACUGCCCUUCUUCUUGAAGCUAGGCUUGUUUUGUAUAGCCAUCACAUGGCUGCUACUAGCGCUUUUCUUAAUGUCAGCCUCUGCUCUUUUAAGCAUGCCACACAGUUCAUUCAGACCCUUCUCCAUCCCAUGCAUAUGGUAAAAGUUCGAGAUGAAGUUCCCAUAGCUAGACGGAAGAGAUUAAAGAGUGAAAUCAGUGGCCAACUCUUGGCCCAGUGGGAAGCCUAGCUUCUCCAACCGUUGAGUGUAACCAACUAUCUUGAUUACGUGGGGUCCUACUGCUGCGCCUUCUGCUAGCUUGCUCUCCACAAAGGCCUUAGACACAUUGAACCUUUCAGUCCUGGCCUGUGUUUCAAACAUGUCUCUAAGUGCCACGAUCAUAUCGUGCGCCUCAUGGUUUGUUUCGAACUGCAUCUGCAGUUCGGGUUCCAUGCAAGCAAGCAUAAGGUUACUUCAAGGUUAGCAUCACAUGCUUUCUCGUAAGCAUUCUUAACAGCAGCAGACGCAUCAUCAGCAGGUUCUUCUAGUAAUGGGGUGUCUAGAACAUCUUUCUUUUUCUCAGCUCUGAGAACGAUUCUCAGGUUACGGAUCCAAUCCGAGUUAUUUGUUCCAUUCAACUUGUCCUUCUCAAGGACCGAACGCAAAACAAACGAUGUGGUGUUGCUAGGUGCCAUCUACAACAAAAUAAUAAUGCAAAAUACUAAGACAAACGUAUCCAUGACAGAGUAAAUCACAUUAAACUAUUUAACAGAAUCUACUCCCACUAAAAUCAAUAUCCCUCUAUUGAUACUUAGUGAUUCAGGAUCCACAACUAACAAGUCUACUAGUGAGCUUUAGCAUCACCGCUAGCAAACAAGGUAGAUCGGUAAGCAACUUCUUGUUAAUCAUAUCACAUAUGACUCCUGUUGUUGGAUGACAUCUCCAUGUCUUGGUGCCCAACCUUUAUGCCCCAAGGUCCUUAACCGUUAAGAUAACCUUGUUAAGCAAAUCAACCCUUAUGUGUGUAAGUGUCCGACACAAACCCAUCUAGUCAAGGAAAACUAGUGGCACCCUAAUUUCAUAGACCUACCACCAAUUGUACAAGACAUGGGAUGGUGCAAGUUUUAGUUGGGAGGGCAUACAAACUUAAACUUUGCGAGGGAAGUAAAACAUGCUAUUUUCUUAUGCAGGAAGUAAAACAUAAAGAAUAGCAUUCACACAGUUGUGACACAGUAUGGCCCAUUUUCUUAUGGUGAUCUCCAUCUCCAUAGAACCUGUUCACCAUGGUGAUCUCCAUCUCCAUGUUCCAUGUGCGCCAUCCUCCUGGUGAUGAGUCCUCCAAGAACUAGAACAUGCUAUUGCACCUAAUAGCUAGUAAUGAAGAUUACAUAGUUUCUUGGAUUAUCACAGAUUGGUACGCAGACCAUUAAAUACAUUAAAGUGACAACACAUAUGGCUCCAGCCGUGUUGCCGUACGCGUGACACAUAGGUCACGAAUGAGUUACACACAUGCAUCACAUACAGAAGGGGUCAUACCGAUCACAAAAUCAUAACAUCCUGCAAAACGGAGUUAGGCGUUCUAACGUUCCAAACUUCAGAGGCCAAAACUCUAUCUUCCAAAUCGAAUUUGGGAAAUCUGAUUUCACCGAAAAUGGUGAAGCGGUUGAAUUUGAUGUGUAACUUUUUCCGUAGAUCAAUUUUCAUAUAAAAUUCAUGUCUAUCCGAGAUCGUACCAAAAAUUUACGACUGUUUUACUGAAACAUAUGCAUACGGCAAAAAUUCCGACCCGGUAAUAGAUCCAAUCUACUAUUGCGCAUCACAUGCGCCUGGCGUAUGAAUCUGGGUUUCGAUUCGAUCAAUCACAUUGAUCUUCGCUCGCUACAAAUAGCAUUACGUGUAUCACUUAACUCCGAUGGUGGAAAUCCGACCGGUAGGAGUGUGUCGUUACACGAUCAUUGCAGCAAGAACACGAAACCAGGUCAUAGAUCAAUCUGAAAACUUGCAUAUCUCCAUAUGCACACAUCCCGAAUCCAUAACUAAACAGCUAUGGCUCUGAUACCACUAUUGGGAUACGAGGUGGGCUAAGCUAGCGCAAAACAAAAUUUUCUACUACGUAAACUAGAAAAACUGUCAUAUAUGGAUCACGGGAUUACCACUCGACGCACUGGUGCAAAAGAUGUAGAAUCGCAUCGGGGCAGCGAAGUCGAUCAGCGUAGUCGAACACGUUGUCGAUCACGUCGACGUCGAGCAAUUCCUCAGCAACUCGUCCAUGUACCGUGAGGUCCUCCUCGUGCCGCGGCUUGUCGUCGGCUUGUCGUGGCUCAUCAGUGGCUCGUCCAAGUGCUGCAGGUGCAACACCUCCAAGGUAUCCACACGUGCAGGGAGGAAGCAUCGCAAGCCGGACUACUAGGUCCGCGAGUUGCAAUAGGCGAGGGUGUGGGAGGCGCGGCAGCUGUGGUUCGGCCAAAAGGAUUGAAACGCUAGGGUGCCCCACCCCUCUAUUUAUAGAGGUUCCUGACGGGCCUCUGGGUUCGAGGCCCAUUAGUACUCCUAAACCUGAUCCAAUUCGGAUCACAGCAGAAUUGGGCUUCCAACCCCUUAAGUGUGCGACCCUAUAGGUUCGGAUACGUAUAGACAUGGCCCAAGUACUCCUACUCAGCCCAAUAGUCAGUAGCGACCUCGAGCAAGACAUGCCAACUCCCAUACGCACACGAAGAUCAUAUCAGACGAGCCGUCACAACAUCAUAUACAUGCUAUUCCCUUUGCCUCAUGAUAUUUGGUCUAGCUUCAAGCCGGCCGCUCUUUCUCGAUCUUGUGAUUCAGAAUCCCUUUGUAGGUUAACUCUUAACCGUGCAUAACAUGGCCAUGCAUUUUUGGAUCCGAUCACUUGAGGGGACCAGAGAUAUCACUCUUAAUCAAAGAGGGGCAAAUCCCAUCUUUAUUGACCAUGCCUCACACCAUGCUUCUUGACAAACCUAAAAGCUACCUUUUUAACUACCCUGUUACGGUGUAGCGUUUGAUAGCCCAUAAGUAAUUUGAUCCACAUCUUGAGUACAUGCGACAAUCUCAGGUCUAAGGACAAAGCUUACAUGUUGUGUAAAGAGAGAACUACUUCUCGUGUUGGGUCAGUUCUAGCACAUGUCUCUACAUAUGCCCACAUUAUUAGUUUGAGACCUCCAUGUCCAUGACUUCUGAAACAUAGUCAUCAACUAAUACAUGUGCUAGUCUAAUAUUAAUGUGUGUCCUCACAUGAACUCCGACUAGGAACAACUUUUAGAAUAACUAUACAAGUAAAGAGUUCCACAUACAAUUCACACAAUUGCAGAUCAAUUCAUGUAGCCUUUAAUGGAUAUUCAAUGAACACUAUAAAUCAUGGAUACAAAUGGAAUAUCAUAAUCUCUAUGAUUGCCUCUAGAGCAUACCUCCAACAUUGAUAUCAUGGCAGGCUUCACCAUGGUAUUGUGUAUCGACGUUAGACUUAUCAUUGUUUUUCCGCUGCUUUUGAACUCUGAAACUCUAUCUUUAUGCAUUUGAAAAAUUAGUCUGUAAUAACUGAAUGUGGGACCUGUAAUAAUGUAUCUAGAUUGUCAUAAUCUCUGGACUUGUCUUCGUGCAAGUAUGCUUCGUUUCGAUCCGAGACAAGUGGUUUUAUCGGGUGAAACAUGGCGGACUGCCAUUUUAAUUUGAUUAAAGUGUCCAUUCGCGUGUAAGGCCAUAUUGAGUACACUUUAGCCAGGCUAAUUUGGGCAGCCCGAGUGCCACAGCUAGUAUCAGAGCUAGUAUCUGAUGCCACAGCUGGUACCAGAGCUCAAAAGCAUACCUAGAGAGAGCAACAAGCCCUAAACACCUUUUUGAAUAAAACUUGCAAGAAACUUAUUUUGAAAAAGAAUCCAUAAGUUCGUAGUGCUUGUAGUGUUAUUAACAUGUUUACCAUGACUUAAUCAUGUACUUGUUUAAUUGUACGUAAAUUUAUUAUUUAAUAUUUAAUGGUGCUACAAAAAUAGAAAUAUUUAAUAUUUUAACCAUGCAAAAAUUAUUUCUUGUUUAAUAGGGUGAGAUUUGCUUAUAUCAUUGCAAGGAUUUGCUUAUAUCAUUCAAAAAAUCAAGAUGAUCGCGAUGUCAUUUUGCUGAACUAGUUGCUAUCAGGUAUGUAUUCAGAUAUGUUGGACGUAUACAUGGACACUCAGGAUAACAUUUUUUGGAAUUCAUGUUCUUAAUUACUUUCUCAAGUAAAUGCAGACAAGCUUGGCUGCCUCUAUGAGGUCGACUUUGCGAGUUUCUGGGCUCAGGUGGAGGAGGCUGAGGUGUUCAGGGUAAGCACACCGCACUCUAGUACAACUGCGGUGAGAUCAUCAAGUACAUCAAGUACCCGAGGUGAGAUCAUCAAGUACAUCAAGUACCCGAGGCAAGAUCAUCAAGUACAUCAAGUUUCUCCUGUAUCCCAUCAUUCUAGCUGUCAUCCAGAUGAAGAAGGAAUUUCCAAUAUUUACAAAAGAUCAUCCAGAUGAAGAAGGAAUUUCCAAUGUUUACAAAAGGGAAGAAAUGUAUAAAGUAUAAAUAAGAUCUAACCAUUCAUAAUUAAGGGUAAUAUGGUAAUUACAAUAAUUCAUUUGUUGAUAACCAAAAACACAACAUAAUGGUUCAAUUACAUAAUGCAACAUCAUCUAAUGGAAUGUUAAUAACUCUCCUCUUGACGAACGUCCCUUGGUUGUGAUUGCGGCGUAAGUAUGGAGCAUCCUCUUUGGCUAACAGGAUGCUUGGGUCAACCUCGACUGAAAAUGGGAAAGAUCAUCAAACUGAUCAUAAUCUUCUGAAAUGUCAGUCUUGUCCUCAACUACAAUUUUUCUUUUCCCUAGAAGAACUAUGUGGCGCUUUGGCUAGUCAUCUGACUUAUUAGCACCCUUCCUUAUUGGUUUGCUUGACAUGUCCUUCACGUAGAAAACUUGAGUCACGUCAUUGGCUAGGAUGAAUGGUUCUUCUCUGUAUCCAAUCUUGUUGAGGUCCACUAUUGUCAUCCCAUAGUUGUCCUCCAGUAAGUUUCACCCAUUGGCACCAAAACAGAGGAAUUUUCAAAGGUCCAUAGUCAAGUUCCCAUAUCUCCUCAAUGACACCAUAGUAUCUGACUUUUUUUCCCAUUGUCGUCUAUUGCAUCGAUA